rnacentral:ncRNA from 1 species
ACCGCUAGGGGAGCACAUCGCUGAGAUUGAAUCAUGGUGCAAAUCAUAAUUCUAACCCUUACUACUUGAACCGGAUAAUACCGGCGGAAGGAAGCAGGAAUUU